rnacentral:lncRNA from 1 species
CGCGGCCAAGGCUGUGGGGUCGCAGCUCAACCCCAACGGCCGGCCUGUUUGCUAAAGCCCACCAACCACUCCAAGUUCACCGCCGCCCCACUCGAGCCCAGCUUCCAACUCCAAACACAAGGCUCUGACGAGGGAUUCGGUUGGCAAGUAGAUGGUGCUUGGUUUCAACCAAAUUUGAUCCACCUACUCUUAUCAUUAAUCAAAUGAAUUCUACUUCUUUUCAAUUUGCUUUUCUAUAUGCUC